GUGCUUGCUUCAGCAACACAUAUACUAAAAUUGAAAUGAUACAGAGAAUAUUAGCAUGGCCUGCAUAGGGAUGACAUGGAAAUUUGUGAAGCAUUCCAUGGGAAA
ensembl:snRNA U6 U6 spliceosomal RNA